AGCCUUUCUAUCCGGACAGGAUGGCAGGGCGCAUCUUGGGAAUGGGUGAUGUUCUCUCAUUUGUGGAGAAGGCACAGGAAGUUAUGAAACAAGAGGAUGCCGAGGAACUACAGAAAAAGAUUAUGAGUGCCAAAUUUGACUUCAAUGAUUUCUUAAAGCAAACGCGUGCUGUUGCACAAAUGGGUUCCAUGAGCCGUGUAAUUGGCAUGAUACCAGGCAUGGCGAAGGUUACUCCGGCGCAAAUUCGUGAAGCAGAGAAAAAUUUAAAAU
rnacentral:misc_RNA from 1 species